CUUCAUUUUAAAAAAGGGGUAGAAAAGCUGCAGCAUUUUUCCAGGGUAUUUGUACAUAAAAAUUACAUCUCAAACACCAUCGUAAACCCUAGACAUACAGUUAACCCUGAUAAAUAUUCAGGAAUGGAACCUGGUUACUACUAUCUCAACCCUGGUACAGCCACCCUACCACUCAAAAACACAACAAAAACAUAUAGACAGCCUGUAACAGAUACAAAGGACAUAAAGUGUAGCAAGGUGCAAUAUUGCAUACAAUUUGUGCAAACUGUCAG